UGCCUACCUGGCACAGCACCUUCACAUAGUGGGUGCUUGGUCAGUAUUUUUCCAAUGAAUUAAUCUAGUCCAAACCUUUCCUUUUACAGGAGAAGGCUGAGCAGUUGAGAACUGAAGUGAUUCAAUGGCUGUGCAUGUAAUGACUGGUGGGGUAGGGCAUAGAAGCCAGGCCGCCUCAACCUCUACGUUCUUCAGCUGUCCUGGGAUUAGGGGGGCUCUGCUCUCCCUCACAUCAGUUGUUUUCCAUGGAACAGAAGUUGUCCUGUCCUAUUGUUAGCAGAGCAAUAAUGGGAUGAGAUACAUUUUGGCAAGAGUUGGCAAGUCUCAGGAUUUUAUACAGAUACUUUCUGGAUUUAAACCCCAGACAUCCAUAAAACUGCCUCUGAUUUCCUACAAAAUGUUUUCUGAGAGUUUGAUCUUAGCCUCUGCCAUGCCUUGUUGAAUAAUCUUGACUGAAAGGAAACAGCUUUACAUUCUGGGGUGCCCUUAGGAACUACGGGGCCCCCUGGUGAGUGUGGCAAUAGGAAUUACUGCUGUAUGCUGUGUUUGUUUUGCACUGUGUGUAUAAGGUGGGUUGAAUAACUGAAUAUAUGAGCCUGGCCAAAGAUGCCAGUGGCAUUCGUACUUAGCUUUUUUUUUCAGCUUUCAUUAUAGGUGGCUAAGCAAUCGCUAUACCACCAUCCUUUCACCAUAUUUUAUGAUCCCUCACAAUCAUAAUAUAUAUUUCCACUGAGAGUUAAAGAGACUUUUGGAGGAGUAGAGAGAGGAACCUGUUUAUUUUGUCUUAGAAAUAAAGUUGAGUUGAAAUAAAUAUCCUUAGAUCACAGCUAAUUGUUGUGCACACUUUAAAAUAGACGUUUCUUAUCUGGAGGCUUCUCCUGGUGUUUUUUUGUAAGAAGCUGAUUGACGAAUUAACCUAUCAGUUUCUUGGAGCUUUAGGUCAUUAUCUCUGGCAAGUAGAAAGUAAGACUUGUUUAUUUAGAUAUGGAGGGCUGAGUCUGGCUGCCGACUUGGAGAAGGUCGUGUUAUUGGUUUACCCUAAUUCAUCAGCCCCUGAGACUAAGGUAAUGAUGCUUUAUUCCAGAAAGUACUGACUACUCAAAUAUACUAUCCAUAGAAGAUUUUGAGGUCCCUUAGUUAAAAUCACAAUAGACGUGUUAAUAACAAGGUAGCUGUUUUUCUUCCAACUUCCUGCCAUACCCAAUACAGAAUAGAUGUGAAAGUCACCACCACCACCUCCCCAUCUGGCAGGUGUUUCUAGGGUGUGAGGUGUAGUGGUUUAGGGCCUGCAAAUGCUGGGGUAAUAGCAACAGUGGAGAGAGGAAAAUCCCUUGCCUCGUACCUCUCCUUGUGGGGAGAGCCAGCCCUGGGAGAAAGGGGCCAGAUACACAGCCACGGUGCGAUGACAGGCUGCAAGCUACAGCAGGAGCCUAGAACUGAGACAGGCAGAGCUGGUAGCAGUUGCAUCCUUACCUUGGAGCCCCUUAUAGAAUGAGAGACACUGCCUUGCCUGGGCCUGCACAGCUUUGCCGCUGUGUCCUACACCCACUGUGGGCUUGGGAAGCAGCAACUUUGCUGCAGCCCAUUCAGGACACUCGCCUUUAACCUGAUGCCUGUUAAAUCUGUCUUCAGGCUUAUCUGUCCUAUAAGGUGUAAGUGACAAAUGUGUGUUACCACCCACCCCCAGAGCGGUGUGUGUGUGUGUUAGUAAGUGUUAAAAUAAGCCCUUAGAUGAACAGGGAUGAGGUUCUGACAAGAAACGUGUUGGGGAGGAAGCUGGCUUUCCUCUCCAGGGAGUAAGGCAGGCCUGUGGUGCCUCGGCAGAGAGGUCAGCUAUGAUUGUGUGUCGUGAGCAGGGCUUCCAUGUUAAGGGCCUGUGGAUUUAUAGGAACUUGGGCUCAUCAAGUCCAGGAGGAGGUGAGAAACUAAGCAAAGGAGGGGUGGAGGGGCUGGUGCUCAGGUGUGAGCGUUGGCUGGUAGUUCUGCAGCUGGGGAGAGCAGGGGAGGGGCGUCCUGCUGGGCUCUCAGCCCUAACCCAGGAUGGUCGUUGGGGCCACUUCUUGGGACGGCUUCUCCAAGUCUUGGGGAUGCUCUUCCUGUCCAGCCUCAGGUCCCUUGGCCCUGGCUGUGUUCUGGUUGGAGGGGUUGCCCUGCAGUUCCUUUUCCUAAGGGGAAACUGCCACUGGAAGGCAGGGAUCUGGCCUUAGGCUUUGUCGCCCAACAACUAGAACAACACCUGCGUGUGGUCAAUGGCCUCGCAGAUGUUCAGUGAGUGAAGGAGCAGGUGUGAGAGCCCCUUCAAAGCUCUGGUCCCAGGCAAGAAAGCCGGAAGGGAACCAACAUUCAAUUUGUCCACAGUUGUACUCUCUUCAGCUACUUUACAUAUACUCUCAUUUAAUUCUCACCACCACCCUGCGAGGUAGUUGUUUUGAUCAUUUUCACAGACGAAGAGGCUGAGGUUGAGUCUUCUCCCCCCUCCAGUUUGCCUGUCGGGCUCUGCCCCUCCCUGGCACUCCCCACCCCGCUUCACCCCACCCCCUCAGGGCCUCCUCACCAGGGAUGCUUCCCCAAGCCUCCCAGCUGGCCUUACUCCCCCUUCCUCGGGCUCCCCCAGACGUCCUUAUUGCUUCUGCGGUCACCGUGUCAGCCACUGUCUUGUUCUUUGUGUGUCCUUUUCUUCCUCAGGGUUCUUAAAGCAGAACGUAGGAAACCCCUCUCAGGGCAUGCACGUGUGACUUUUCCAGGGAGGAGGGUCUGGGGCACUGUCAAAUUGUCAAAGGAGUCUGUAAUCCCCUGGCGUCCAGAAGCAGCACGUGGACUGAGCCCUGUGGUGGUUCCCCAGCAUCUGUCUCCCUGCCGCCCCGCCUCUGGGCCCUGCCCGUGUACUCAGCCUACGUCCGAGCGCGCCAUGCUGAGCCCAGUGCCGGGAGUGUGAGCGCAUGCCUCCUCCUGCCUCCUGGGCACUGAGUCCCCACCUGCCCUGACUGGGCUAGGGUUCCGAGUCUGCUCCCUUGGCCCCCUCUCUCCCAACUUUCUCUUCCUUUCCUCACUUAACUGUUUCCACAUGAGUCCUGAACGUCUGUCUUCAAUGAGAAGGUCUUAGGGAGCAGAGAGAGUUUUUAAGCUAGAAGAGACCUGGGGAAUCCCCCGCCGCGGUUGAGGGAGAGGAGAGGACACGCAGACAGGAAGAGGCUCCCAUGGUACCUUUGAAGAAAGUCUCUCAGAACUGGGAGGGGAGCAACAGCAAUACUGAGUGUCCUGAAUGGUGAGCCAUGAUGUGAGUGCCCACGAGGAUGUUCACCUGCCUGAGAGGACCCCUGGAGGGUCACUGCGUAACCAGAGUGGGCCCCGCAGUGCCCCACAGCGAGCAGGGCGGGGGUGCUGGCCCCUCGGUUCACAGCCUUUGUCGGGUUGCCUCAUCCUUGAGCCAGGCUGGCUCCUCAAGUUGUAUCCAGUGCCUACCACAUGCUGCAGUCAGCCCUCUAGUUAUCGAGGAGGAAUGGGAUCAUGAACCUGCCUUCCAAAUAUUUGGACCCUUGGAGAGAAGAGAAGAUAAACGAAAAUUACUAACACGAUGGAAAAAACAGUAAGGGCCACAGAAGAGCCAGAGAUUAAAGGCUGCUGCGGAACACGCCUGAUUUUGGCCUCCGAGAUCCAGCUCCAAGUUCUUUCUGACUAGCUUCCUAAAGACAGAAAAGAUCUGUGACGAGGGCAUCACACGGCCUGUGUUUAUCUGGCUUUGCUGGUAACUGGCUGUGUGAGUGGACAAGUCAUUUGCCAAGGAUUAGAGGAGAUGAGCUAAGGGCUCCUUGACCUGCCAUUCUGUAUGAUUCUGAAGUUACAGUGAAGUCAGGAGGGGAAGAACAGACGCCUGAGGCAACAGACCAACCGUGAGCUCCAGACGGGCUGUUUGUUUGUUAAUAUACCCCCUCCCCUCCCCUCCCCUCCCCACCCACCUAUUACCUCGGCUUAUUAGAGGUGGUUGAUGAAAAGACUGGAAUCCGUGCUCCGGGGUCUGCACUGCUCUGGCGGAGGGUUUAGCACCAUAGAACUCACUUUGUAAAAGUGCACCAGCUGUGAUAAAUAAGCUUAAGCCUCAGUAACCACUUUUACCAAUUACGCUAGGCUGCUUUGUGACAGAAGGUAAUACCAAGUAAGAAUUUUAAAGAAGCCUCAUUUUCCUUGUCUAAUUAAAUUAAAUACUUGAAAGGUGAUUCACAUGUUGAUUUUCCCCCCAUUAGCCAACUGAAAAUUACAGGGUCUUUUAAGAGUUGGAGCCACGUGAUUCGCCUGCUCAGCCUCUAGGGUCAGGGAGCCCUCACCCCUGGACGCUCUCCUGCCGGCAUCCCACCCACCCAUUUCUGUGUGUGCAGCUGUCAUGGUGGGGCUCUGGGGCCGCCACUGCCCAGGAGAAUUUAGGGAGAGCAUGCUCGUUAGUUUUUUAAUCCUUCCACAAAAAUCUGUACAGGAUGCCUUUGUUUCUAGGUUUUUGAUAUUCCCAACAGGCAGCAGUUCUCUCUAUAAUGAGAAACAAGGAGAGCCUCAUUCUUUCCAGUUCUUUUUGUCUCACACCAGUAAGAGAAAUCACCUGGAUUGAGAGCUCACCAAGUCAGUCCUUAAUCUUCCUCCACCGUGAAGAUCUGGAUUAUUUAAAUGCCAGUAAAUCCUGGCAAUUUUGUUUCAGUGGUGCCACCAGGAUGCUGUAAUUUGAAACUGUCAAUACUUUUCUUUCUUUAUUUUCUGUUUUUACGCUGGCUGCUCCGUGUUUCUGAGAUAAGACAUAUACAUGCGUUAGAAAAUGUAACAUGCUCUAUUCAUUUAUUUCCUUGGACACGUAAGAGGCCCUGGGGAGCGUCAGGGAGCCUGGCUGAUGGCACUGAGUGUGAGGGAGCUUACUCCACGACGUUUGAAGAAUCGUCACCUGUAAAGCAACAGUGUUUGGUCUCGUUUUCAUGACUGGAUCAAAGUAUUCACCAGUAUUCAUGUUCCAUUUCCAGGUCACACCUUCUGACGCAUGUAAUCAUUGUGUGCAUGUUUUGAAAAGUCCUGGUUAUUUCAAAAUGGGCAAACAAGCAUUCUCUGAGCUCUCCCGUGCUCCUGCCCCCACUGCCCCAGCCCUCCUCGACCUCGGAGACCUCACCCAGAUCCAGCAGCUCCAGAACUGGCCCCCUGCCCCAGCAGGGGCUCUCCAGCGCCUGGCUCUUGUGUGAGGACCAGCAUCAGUUCUGAUUGGUGGAGACACAGCAGGAAGGCGGCCAUCUGCGGGCCAGGAGGCGGGCUCUCACCAGGAAUCAAAUCUGCCAGCACCUUGAUCUUGGGCUUCCGGCCUCCAGAACUGUGAGAAAUAAUUGUCUAUUGUUUGAGCCACCCAGUCUGUGGUAUUUUGUUGUAGCAGCCCAAACUGACUGAGAUAUUGUAUCGUGAGCCUCAAACCCACCAGGGGGCUUCUGGGGCAUGUGGUCACUGUGGUGUGUUCCCAAGUCAGAUGUCAGAUGAAAAUCCACCUAUCUUAUGGCCAGUAUUCCAAGACAUGGGUAACAUCAGGUGAGGGGAUGUUGUUAACUGCCUGCCACUGGAGUAGG